CAAACUGUAGCUUAUAUAAAAGUUUAUUAUUUACACUAAUAUGAAAAUCAUUAAAGAUUUGGUUUGA
rnacentral:tRNA from 1 species